rnacentral:misc_RNA from 1 species
UUAAGUUCAGCGGGUAGUCCUACCUGAUUUGAGGUCAAAUGUCAAGAAUUGUCCAGAAGACGGUUAGAAGCUAAACCGAUUUUAAAGCUGCUUCCCAAUGGCGUAGAUAAUUAUCACACCAGAGAUGGUCAACAAAGGUUUCGCUAAUGCAUUUAAGGAGAGCUGACUUCUGAGAAGCCCGCAACUCCCACAUCCAAGCC